CCCUUAGACGUUCUGGGCCGCACGCGCGCUACACUGACGAAGGCAACGAGCUUUCCUUUACCGAAAGGUACGGGUAAUCUUUUGAAACUUCGUCGUGCUGGGGAUAGAUCCUUGCAAUUUUUGAUCUUAAACGAGGGAUGCCUAGUAAGCGCAAGUCAUCAACUUGCGUUGAUUACGUCCCUGCCCUUUGUACACACCGCCCGUCGCUACUACCGAUUGAAUGGUUUAGUGAGGCCUUCGGAUCCGCGACUCGUUUUGUGGAGAAGUUGGACAAACUCAGUCAUUUAGAGGAAGUAAAAGUCGUAACA
rnacentral:rRNA from 1 species